rnacentral:rRNA from 1 species
AUGGACCGUGUGGAUAGCUCGAGCACGUCUCGUGGAAGAGGCAAGAAUAAAAGGAAUUGGUCUUCCGAUGAGGACGAUGAGCUUAUUAAAGCUUUGUAUGAGUUAUCUUUGGACCCGAGGUGGAAAGCUGAUGGUGCCUUCAAGGGUGGAUACCUGGGGAUAUUGGAAAAGCAUCUUGCUGAAAAGUGUCCAGGCCGUGGUAUCACUGCAUCUCCGCACAUUGAAUCAAGAGUGAGGCACUUCAGGAAGAAAUUUGGUGCCGUUGAAGUAAUGCUAUCCAAAAGUGGUUUCACAUGGGAUGGAAGUCGAAAGAUGAUUCAGUGCGAGAAGGCACAAUAUGAAGCUCAUUGUCAGAUUCACAAGGAGGCUAAGGGAUUGUAUGGUGUAUCAUUUCCAUACUUUGAACAAUUGGCUGCUAUCUAUGGCAAAGACAUUGCAACAGGAGAAAGUGCGGAAGGCUUUGGAGAGGCAGUGGGAAACUUGGAGAAGGAAAUUGCUAUGGAGGAAGAAGAAAAUGAGGAAGAGGACAUGAUCUCAACAGGAACAGCUCGACGGUCCAUUGACACUUGCUCUAUUGAUACAACUAGUUCGAAGAGGCAGAAAAAGGAGCCAAGGCCAAAGAGGGCGACGGGACCAAGCGAUCCAUUUGCAGCCAUGCUUCAAGAUGUUAAUAGCCAGCUGAACAGCGUGACACAACAUGUGGGUGCAAUGACAACAUCAUUUACAGCAGCAAUGGCGCGAGAAGCAGCACAAGAAGACCCUCAACAGAAAUCAAGAGAAAAUGCAAUUAGUGAAUUGUCUAGGCUUGCAUUUACUGGGAGCGAGAUCGUUGAAGCUGCAACUAUAUUCGCUAAAGCUCCAGAGCACAUGAACAUGAUGCUUGUGCUUCCAGGCAUUCUGAGGAGGGACUUCGUCCUGAAAAUGCUGUCCGAUGAAAGAAAGAAGCAAGGUUGA